UUGAAUCACAGCUGAUAUCUAUAUUAUUAUCACAGAUAUCUGUGGGUUGAAUGGAUUCGGGAUUGUACCACAGAAUAAUUAUUUUAUACUAUGAUUAUACUUCGUCACUGCGAUAGCAGCUUUUUAUCGGACGAACGGAUGCAUGAUAUGAUACAUUUGAUUUAAUUGAACGGUUGUACAUCGAACGAAAAUCUGAAACUAUCUCCACUCAUUGAACUCCAUAUGGUAACUUUUAGAGGUUCAAUGGCUCCAUCACGACUCACGAGUCACUAUAUUGUCACAUCAAGUCGCGCACGUGAAGGUGUGAAACAUAAACACGAAUGGGUACAACUUACACUGUAGAGUGUGCAGAUUGGCAUAUUAUAAUAAUGUGUCAAAACUGAGUUUACACGAUGCCCUAAACUCACACAAAAGAAGCUCUUAAUUCAGGAUGAUUAUAAAAAAUAUUUUUAAUGGCACCAAUAAGGAAAACA